rnacentral:rRNA from 1 species
UCGGAUUGUAGUCUGCAACCCGACUACAUGAAGCCGGAAUCGCUAGUAAUCGCGGAUCAGAAUGCCGCGGUGAAUACGUUCCCGGGUCUUGUACACACCGCCCGUCACACCAUGGGAGUCGGGAAUGCCCGAAGUCAGUGACCCAACCCAAGGGGAGGGAGCUGCCGAAGGCAGGCCUGGUGACUGGGGUGAAGUCGUAACAAGGUAGC